GGGCACAUGGAGUGCUGUGGGGCAACAAUGAGUGCUAUGGGGUGAUAUGGAGUGCUAUGGGGUCACAUGGAGUCCUAUGGGGCCAUAUGGAGCGCUAUGGGGUUAUAUGGACCGCUAUGGAGCCAUAUGGAGCGCUAUGGGGUAAUAUGGAGUGCUAUGGGGCCACAUGGAGUGCUAUGGGGUAAUAUGGAGUGCUAUGGAGUAAUAUGGAGCGCUAUCGGGCCAUAUGGAGCGCUAUGGGGCCACAUGGAGUGCUAUGGGGCCACAUGGAGUGCUAUGGGGUAAUAUGGAGUGCUAUGAGGUAAUAUGGAGCGCUAUGGGACAAUAUGGAGUCCUAUGGGGUGAUAUGGAGUGCUAUGGGG
ensembl:lncRNA